rnacentral:rRNA from 1 species
UCUUGCAAGACAGAUGUGAAAUCCCCGGGCUCAACCUGGGAACUGCAUUUGUGACUGCAAGGCUAGAGUACGGCAGAGGGGGAUGGAAUUCCGCGUGUAGCAGUGAAAUGCGUAGAUAUGCGGAGGAGCACCGAUGGCGAAGGCAAUCCCCUGGGCCUGUACUGACGCUCAUGCACGAAAGCGUGGGGAGCAAACAGGAUUAGAUACCCUGGUAGUCCACGCCCUAAACGAUGUCAACUGGUUGUUGGGAAGGUU